AGAAUCAACGCUGGCGGCGUGCCUAACACAUGCAAGUCGAACGAGAAAGUGGAGCAAUCCAUGAGUAAAGUGGCGCACGGGUGAGUAACACGUGACUAACCUACCUUUUAGUGGGGGAUAACCUAGGGAAACCUGGGCUAAUACCGCAUAAUACCUACGGGUCAAAGCAGCAAUGCGCUGGAAGAGGGGGUCGCGGCCGAUUAGCUAGUUGGCGGGUAAUGGCCCACCAAGGCAGUGAUCGGUA
rnacentral:rRNA from 1 species